UACGUAGGGGGCAAGCGUUGUCCGGAUUUAUUGGGCGUAAAGAGCGUGUAGGCGGUUUGGUAGGUCCGCUGUGAAAACUCGAGGCUCAACCUCGAGACGCCGGUGGAAACCAUCAGGGCUAGAGUCCGGAAGAGGAGAGUGGGAAUUCCUGGUGUAGCGGUGAAAUGACGCAGAUAUCAGGAAGAACACCAAUGGCGAAAGCAGCUCUCUGGGACGGUACUGACGCUGAGACGCGAAAGCGUGGGGAGCGAACAGG
rnacentral:rRNA from 1 species